AGUGGAUGGAGGGUGGGGUGAGAUGAGUAAUUUCAGGAAGAUGUGUUCCUGCGUUCAUUGAUUGCCCUGGCCAAGGAGUGGGAUUCAGGAAAGUACAGAUGGAAUGAAAGAAACUCCCAACAGCAUUGACCAGCAGGGAAGGUUUGAUCUUUGAGGUCAGAGCUUCCAGGAAGUUUUGAAUUUAAAGGGAUUGGAUAUCAGUUCUAGAGAAACAGCUAUACAUCCAGCCAAGUCAGGUGAUGGGAGAGAGAGAAAGACUGGAAAUAUGGAAGGAGUAGAAUGCUACUCCCAGGGCCCACUCGGCAGCACCCACACGGUGCUCUUAGUCAUCAGCAGAAGGGACAGGACCUGCAGCAACUCUAAGUCCCAGAGAGGACAGUCCUACUGCAUGUUCAUGACCCUGACAACCACCCUUCAACUCUCUGCUCCCAUGAGUUUGGCUACUAUAUUAGAUUCACAUUCAAGUGAGAUGCUGCAAUAUUUUUCUUUCUGUGUCUGGCUCAUUUUACUUAGCAUAAUGUCCUCCAGUUUCAUCCAUGUUGUUGCAGACAUCAAGAUUUUCCUCCUCAUAAAACCUGAA